GAUGAACGCUGGCGGCGUGCCUAAUACAUGCAAGUCGAGCGAACAGAUGAGAAGCUUGCUUCUCUGAUGUUAGCGGCGGACGGGUGAGUAACACGUGGGUAACCUACCUAUAAGACUGGGAUAACUCCGGGAAACCGGGGCUAAUACCGGAUAAUAUCUUGAACCGCAUGGUUCAAUAGUGAAGGACGGUUUCGGCUGUCACUUAUAGAUGGACCCGCGCCGUAUUAGCUAGUUGGUAAGGUAACGGCUUACCAAGGCGACGAUACGUAGCCGACCUGAGAGGGUGAUCGGCCACACUGGAACUGAGACACGGUCCAGACGCCUACGGGAGGCAGCAGUAGGGAAUCUUCCGCAAUGGGCGAAAGCCUGACGGAGCAACGCCGCGUGAGUGAUGAAGGUCUUCGGAUCGUAAAACUCUGUUGUUAGGGAAGGACAAAUUUGUUAGUAACUGAACAAGUCUUGACGGUACCUAACCAGAAAGCCACGGCUAACUACGUGCCAGCCGCCGCCGUAA
rnacentral:rRNA from 1 species